GAACUGUGCGAACGUUAUUCGGAAUCACUGGGCUUAAAGGGUGCGUAGGCGGUUUUCUAAGUCACGUGUGAAAUCUUCUGGCUCAACCAGAAAACUGCGCGUGAAACUAGUAAACUUGAGUGAGGUAGGGGUGUGUGGAACUUCCGGUGGAGCGGUGAAAUGUGUAGAGAUCGGAAGGAACGCCAGCAGCGAAAGCGGCACACUGGGCCUUUUCUGACGCUGAGGCACGAAAGCUAGGGGAGUGAACGGGAUUAGAUACCCCGGUAAUCCUAGCCGUAAACACUGAACACUGGAGGACGGGGGCUUCGGCCUUCGUUCUCGUAGCGAAAGCGUUAAGUGUUCCGCCUGGGGAGUAUGGUCGCAAGGCUG
rnacentral:rRNA from 1 species